GUAGGUGAACCUGCGGAAGGAUCAUCAUUGAUUAAUUUAAAUUAUGAUGUUUUUUUAAUUUGGUUUAUUUUUAACCGAUUUUAAAAACAUUAUAUAACUUAGUUCUGUGCAUUAUAAUAUUUUAUAACAAUUGGAGUUUUGGGUGAUAUAUUUGAUUAAUUUUUUAAUUUAAUUUAAUUUUUUAAUUUAAUUUAAUUUUUUAAUUUAAUUUAAUUUUUUAAUUUAAUUUUUUGAAUACGCCCAAAUCUCA
rnacentral:misc_RNA from 1 species